UAGACUGGGUGAGGAAGAGGAGAUGAGACCAGACCAGACCAGAGGAGGAAGAGGAGACCAGAUAGGACAAGGAAGAGAGUGCUAAAUAUUUAAUACGCAAUACCUCAUUCAGACCUCAUGAACCAUCCUAUAAGCACAAAUUCAAGAGAAUGAUGCCUAACGACAUCACGUUUUUAUGAGACCUAGAAGGGGAGAGCUUGUUCUCCUAAGUGAAUCUUCUGGGAGGCCAUCUAAACAAAUUUGAAACAAAUAUCAAGUCCUCAGGAAGACCAGGUCACCGUCAUGCUCAGGCAUCAGCUAAAUGCAGAGACUGACGCCAAUCCCAGGAACAUCAUCUUCUGCAGACCACAACAGGUUGAGGAGAUCAUGGCAGGUGCUGGUGGGGGCAGGAGCAGCAUAGAGGAUGAGCUUUUAUUCCUGGAAUGAGGAGAGUGGCAUAUAAGAUGUCAGAGAGGUCCAAGACGAAAGAAGGACAGGGACAUGCUUGACUUCAGGCAAAUAUAUAAAACACUCGGGUA